AGCUGGCCAAGGGGCCAGAUUUCUCCUGCCAGGGGUCUGUGCAGGGCAGCUCUCAGGGGGACACUUAUUGCCGGAGGCUGACAGAUUCUCUGCAGGUUUGGCUGUCAUGCCAGAACUCACUGAGGCUUUGAAAUAACAGUAGCGUGUAAUGUGUAAGAUCCAUCCAGUCCAUAGCAAUUGGUCAGCGCACACACUGUCACAGUGGUGUAAAACUACACUGAGAGACAAGGCUGCUGUGGAGCGAACCAGACCAUUUGACCUCAAACAUGUCACAUGCACAGAAGCCAGCUGAUGGGACUUCUCACAGGGCCUCAUAUCUCUGCUAGUGAGGAGUGAAAGAUGAAACUCUACCAGUCAACAGCUCCAAUGCCACCCUGGUUGAGGUGCACGUACUGCAGCACUACGUCCUCUGCCUGGAUCUGCUCAGUGUUAGCCUGUCCUCCAUGAAGCCUUGUCAGCUUGUCAGCUAAGCCUAGCGGACUGUACCAAACCAGCCCAUGGGGGAGGUGGUGACUCCUAAUUGUACAGCUGGCUCCUCAGAGGAGGGAACAGAAGGAGACUGGUCCCCGCAGCUCAAUGUGUGUGUUUCUUCAGCAGCAACAGACCCAUUCACAGCAUCCCCUUAAAGCUGAUCCUCGGUCAACAAACUGCUACCAAGUGGGCUCCAACUAGACCCCUGGUCUCACAUUCACUGUUUACCUGUCUGAGUUAUCUGCCAAAAUUCCAUAAUUAGACCUGAUCGCAGAUGAUACGACUGUUACAGGUGUAGCUGUUGGAAUCUUGCAUUGGACAUUAGUCUUACAAGUUAAUUCAAGCCAUUCAGCAAAACAAACAUUUUCAAUAAAAGCUGCAUUCUCAAUCAGUUCCUGAAAUAGAUUUUCAAAGAAAACAUUUUGCGCAAUAAAAGUGCAAGUCCUACUCUUUAAGAGUCAUUUAAAAACCAAACCACGAAGUCUAGAAGAGCAAUCCCUUGCAGCUGAGAUCAGGCCUAACGAGCUGUGAUCAAUAAAAACAUUUAAAUGUGACUUUGAAAUAUGUACAGUUGGAAAUGUUGCCAUUUUUUAUUUUCCACAGGGGCCGGGGCCAUUGUUUGUAGCAGCAGGGCAGUAAAUCAGCCAGUGCUUCUCUUGAUUUGUUAACCUUUGUUUGGCUGUGUCAGCAGAUGAGGCAUGGCUGGAGCGGCCCCUUUCAUGGUCAUGAAAUACAGCCUCUGUGUCUGUAGCUGCAGCCAUGCGGUGGGGUGGGGAUGUGGCUUCCCUCUGUUUGCAAGGCACAGGAUAUUGAGCUUCCUUUACCCCUUAGAGAUACAUUAAACGCUCACAGCGGGGGACAGGUAGCCAACAGAUGUGCAGACCGCUGAGGAAAUGGUUGAAAUCUGUUUCAGUAGUGUCUCACUCAGAGUUAAAUCCUCACAGAUCCUUCUUAUUUCUCAAAACACGCAUGGUUAUUAAAUAUCAAAAGAGAAUUUUGAUGUGAAUUAGGCUCGUGUUGGAGCCAGAACAAUAACAAGGCUUUAUUGCAGCAGUUAUGUCUGGAGGGAGGGGGCAGUGACCUAUUAGUGACCUCCCAGCCCCAGGCAGGGAAAGAGAGAUCGUCCUUGACUGCAGCCGUUUCUCAGAAGGCACAAAAGGCCAAUGGUAGUCAGGUCAUCUUUCCACUGCGCAUCAGGUCAAGUUCCACAGGCAGCCCUGAUUUCUUGACACACAAACCCACACAGACGGCAGAGGUCAGCAUGAGGGCAGUGCAGGGAGCCUGGGGCAGUAAACCAACACUGGUGCUGUGAAAGGCCAACCUUCUCUUUCCAGUCUACUGAAUGAGUUAGGGAGCUGCCUGGGUGAUUUGUGCCGUGAUUGUUGCUCUCUAUAUCACUUGAGAUUACAGCAGGUGGCGGCCCACAGCCUGGAAGUACACACAGCUCUAUCACCAGUCCUCCUCUCAGGAAACAGAGAGAGAAUGAGGCAGAGAGAGAAAAACAAGCCCUCAGCUCCCUCCCACACAGCAGUAAUACGCUCACAGGCAAUUUUGCUGCCAGCAGAGCUCUCUAUGACAAUCCAGGGAGCUCUUCAGCUCUGAUAUCUGCCACAAAAGUUCACCUCCGCUUCUCUCUUUCCACUAUUUUUUUAAACAAUGCCAUCAGCGCUGCAAAUUACACCUUCCACAUCGCACAUUAUUCUCUCCCCUGGUGACAGACGUACUCAAGCCUGACACACUUCACUAGUGGCGCUCUUCACGCUGGCGUCAGCCCCGGGUCUCGCUGUAGCACCGCUUCAUUUUCACAUUAACUCCAGUAAAGCAUGGUGAAAUCAGCGUUGUGCUGAGGGGGGAAACUGAGAAUCACUACAGUGUGCACUUCAAUUCACCCCCGCACUGAACUCGGUCUCACAUCGUAGACACAGCUGCAGGAGAUGUCUCACGAGGGACCCGCUUCUCCAAUAUAUCUGCCAGAUGAAUUGUUUAAAAAAAAAAGUCUCUAGUGCUCCUUUGCUACACCUUUAACUGAAAAAACACACAAUGAAGUCAUUUGUAAAUGUGACCAUGGUUCAAAUGGGACUUACACAGGGAAAUCAUGAAUACUUUUAGUAAUAUCCCUUACUGUAUGAUUUAUUCUUGUCUUUCACAUUUUUUUUUUUAAUUUGAAAGCUUGCAUUCUACUCUAAAUAGGCUCCAUUUAUGCAAACGUACAGAUUAAACAGUUCACUGAUGAGAACAUUUUUGGGCGCGCUCUUGAUAAAUGGCACUGCAAACCUUUGUAAAUGUCAUCCAGCAUUAUCUUAAUGUAAUCUUAACUCCGCAAACAAUGCACAGAGAGCUUAGUCUGUGCUCUCCAAAGACCGACUUAGCUGAGUCUCUGGCACGGCUUCUGGAUUGACAAUAUCAUAAAAGAUGAGAAUGUAACUAGGUGACAAGAUAUCAUUGCCCUGGGACACAGCUUUAAUCAUUUGAUAGAUCUGUCUGCAGACCUUUGUGGUGACACGCUGUGCUGGUUUGUCAUCAUCGGUAUCUGUGCAAGCCAGCACUUCAAUCCAUUCCCUGGACAGCAGUCACAGCCUUAAUAAGGCUUGGUUACCGAUUUCCACCCACGGCUCCUUGGAAGCAGCUUAGACUUCAGAAAAGUUGUUUAUUUCACUGCCGGCCAAUAGACUACGCCCCAGCCUU